rnacentral:rRNA from 1 species
GUGAGGAAUAUUGGACAAUGGGUGAGAGCCUGAUCCAGCCACCCCGCGUGAAGGAUGACGGUCCUAUGGAUUGUAAACUUCUUUUGUAUAGGAAUAAACCUACUCUCGUGAGAGUAGCUGAAGGUACUAUACGAAUAAGCACCGGCUAACUCCGUGCCAGCAGCCGCGGUAAUACGGAGGGUGCAAGCGUUAUCCGGAUUUAUUGGGUUUAAAGGGUCCGUAGGCGGACCGAUAAGUCAGUGGUGAAAUCUCAUAGCUUAACUAUGAAACUGCCGUUGAUACUGUCGGUCUUGAGUAAAUUUGAAGUGGCUGGAAUAAGUAGUGUAGCGGUGAAAUGCAUAGAUAUUACUUAGAACACCAAUUGCGAAGGCAGGUCACUAAGAUUUAACUGACGCUGAGGGACGAAAGCGUGGGGAGCGAACAGG